rfam:Schistosoma mattheei strain Denwood, Zambia genome assembly, scaffold: SMTD_contig0002159
AUCCAGCUGAAGAGUCCCAAAUCGAACGGAACGCAAGUCCUGGAU